UACGUAGGGUGCAAGCGUUGUCCGGAAUCAUUGGGCGUAAAGAGCGCGUAGGCGGCCCUGUAAGUCCGCUGUGAAAGUCAAGGGCUCAACCCUUGGAUGCCGGUGGAUACUGCAGGGCUAGAGUCCGGAAGAGGCGAGUGGAAUUCCUGGUGUAGCGGUGAAAUGCGCAGAUAUCAGGAGGAACACCGAUGGCGAAGGCAGCUCGCUGGGACGGUACUGACGCUGAGACGCGAAAGCGUGGGGAGCGAACAGG
rnacentral:rRNA from 1 species